UGGAAAUGUAUAUCUGUGUCAUCCAAUAUGGCAGCCACAAACCACUAGCUACAUCUGGAUGUUUGGCACUUGAAAUGCAACUUGUGUGACUGGAACUGAAUUUUAAUUCUAAAGUGAUUUGACUGACCCAUGCAGGAUUUCUCAGUCAGAAACGUAUAUGAGGGUCACCUCAGCUAGACAGCUGUACAUGGAUUGAAGCCAAAAUGAGAGCCCAGAUGGGGGUCUUCAGGCAUAAUUUUUAAAGAGUGUUACUGUUGAAGAUCUCUCUGAAAGGGUGACAUUUGAACAAAGACAUAAAGCCGACAGCUACAAGGCUUGAGAGAACACAGGAUCCAGCAUUUGUGUCACUUACAUCUAAGGUUGGUGUGUGUUGGCUGAUAGUGCCUGGGCCUGGCUGGGGUGGCCCUGCUGAGAUGACCCUGACCCAUAUGUUUCUCAGCCUCCUCCUGGGCCCCAGAAGGCUCACCUGGGCAUGUUGUUCUUCCAGAACUUGGACAGUAAGCCACACUGGGCAAAUGCUUGUCAUGCCUUAGACUACAUCCCACCCUCUAACAUUCAGUUGGAAAAAACAGCCAUAUGGGCUCCUCAACAUCAAGGUGCAGAGAAGCAUCCUCGGCGUGCGGAGUUGGGGAGUGAAGGAAGGUAGCCUCCACCUUCUCCGUAAGCAUCAUCUGAUCACCAGGGAAUUGCCAGGUUCUGAUUUCACCUAGUUCCAACCUACUGAUCUGCCCCGACCCUGGCUUCUGGUUUCAAUUCCAGUUGCUAAAACAGAUAUUUCUUUAUUUAGUAUCCCUGAGGGACAGAGAG
ensembl:lncRNA